rnacentral:rRNA from 1 species
GAUGAACGCUAGCGGCAGGCCUAAUACAUGCAAGUCGGACGGGAUUCAGGAGCUUGCUUCUGAUGAGAGUGGCGCACGGGUGCGUAACACGUAUGUAACCUACCUUUAUCAGGGGGAUAGCCUCUCGAAAGAGAGAUUAAGCCCGCAUAAAAUCACAGCACAGCAUUGUGUAAUGAUCAAAUAUUUAUAGGAUAAAGAUGGGCAUGCGGAACAUUAGCUAGAUGGCGGGGUAACGGCCCACCAUGGCGACGAUGUUUAGGGGAUCUGAGAGGAUGGCCCCCCACACUGGUACUGAGACACGGACCAGACUCCUACGGGAGGCAGCAGUAAGGAAUAUUGGUCAAUGGGCGGAAGCCUGAACCAGCCAUGCCGCGUGCAGGAAGACGGCCCUACGGGUUGUAAACUGCUUUUAUACGGGAAUAAACCCAGAUAUGUGUAUCUGGCUGAAUGUACUGUAAGAAUAAGGAUCGGCUAACUCCGUG